rnacentral:rRNA from 1 species
GACGAACGCUGGCGGCGUGCUUAACACAUGCAAGUCGAACGGAAAGGCCCUGCUUUUGUGGGGUGCUCGAGUGGCGAACGGGUGAGUAACACGUGAGUAACCUGCCCUUGACUUUGGGAUAACUUCAGGAAACUGGGGCUACUACCGGAUAGGAGCUCCUGCUGCAUGGUGGGGGUUGGAAAGUUUCGGCGGUUGGGGAUGGACUCGCGGCUUAUCAGCUUGUUGGUGGGGUAGUGGCUUACCAAGGCUUUGACGGGUAGCCGGCCUGAGAGGGUGACCGGCCACAUUGGGACUGAGAUACGGCCCAGACUCCUACGGGAGGCAGCAGUGGGGAAUAUUGCACAAUGGGCGGAAGCCUGAUGCAGCAACGCCGCGUGCGGGAUGACGGCCUUCGGGUUGUAAAACGCUUUCGCCUGUGACGAAGCGUGAGUGACGGUAAUGGGUAAAGAAGCACCGGCUAACUACGUG